UUCCUCCAUUUCAUUUCAAACCGGCGAGCGGGCAGGUGUGGAGUGUUGCUGCAGGUGUGGACUGCCGGCGACCUGCGUGACCAAAGGAAGGUUUGGGGUGAGGUGAGCAGUGGAAAGUGUUGAAGCAGAGGAAAGGCUCCAGGUGUGUGGCAGAAGAAAACAAGAAGCAAGAACAGUUAAGAUGAACAUUAGCCGCACCACAGAGCUGUUACUGCUGGCACCACCACCAUCACCACCACCAACACCACCACCCUGCCAAGUGGACACCCCAGUGUGAGCAGAGCCAUCAACACCAGCCUGAGGACUAAUUGCUUAUGUACCAGAGGAGUGUGACAGUCUACCAAAGAAAACAAGAAGCAAGAACAGUUAAGAUGAACAUUAGCCGCACCACAGAGCUGUUACUGCUGGCACCACCACCAUCACCACCACCAACACCACCACCACCACCACCACCCUGCCAAGUGGACACCCCAGUGUGAGCAGAGCCAUCAACACCAGCCUGAGGACUAAUUGCUUAUGUACCAGAGGAGUGUGACAGUCUACCAAUACCUUGGAAGGAAGGUGAUGGUGAGGAACAGUGAAGAAAGGUGACAGAGCAGAAACAGGCCCACACCAUCCUGGAAUGUGCUGCAAACAAUCUUGGUUACCGGCAAAGUAAAGAGAUACAGAGAUAGAUAGAUACAGAGA